rnacentral:rRNA from 1 species
AUAGGUUGGAUGUGGAAGCAUAGUGAUAUGUGAAGCUGACCAAUACUAAUUGCUCGUGAGGCUUGACUAUACAACACCCAAGCAGUUG